rnacentral:rRNA from 1 species
GGCUCAGGAUGAACGCUAGCGGCAGGCUUAACACAUGCAAGUCGAGGGGCAGCAUAAACAUUGCUUGCAAUGUUUGAUGGCGACCGGCGCACGGGUGCGUAACGCGUAUGUAACCUACCUCAGACAGGGGCAUAACACUGAGAAAUUGGUACUAAUUCCCCAUAACACUUUAGGAGGCAUCUCCUUUAGUUGAAAGUUCCGGCCGCGGAUGAGGAUGCGUAUGAUUAGGUAGUAGGCGGGGUAACGGCCCACCAUGCCUACGAUCAGUAGGGGUUCUGAGAGGAAGGUCCCCCACACUGGAACUGAGACACGGUCCAGACUCCUACGGGAGGCAGCAGUGAGGAAUAUUGGUCAAUGGUCGGAAGACUGAACCAGCCAAGUAGCGUGAAGGAUGAAGGUUCUAUGGAUUGUAAACUUCUUUUAUACGGGAAUAAAACCUCCCACGUGUGGGAGCUUGUAUGUACCGUAUGAAUAAGCAUCGGCUAACUCCGUG